rnacentral:rRNA from 1 species
GCUUACACAUGCAAGUCGAACGGGAUCCAUCAGGCUUUGCUUGGUGGUGAGAGUGGCGAACGGGUGAGUAAUGCGUGACCGACCUGCCCCAUACACCGGAAUAGCUCCUGGAAACGGGUGGUAAUGCCGGAUGCUCCAGUUGAUCGCAUGGUCUUCUGGGAAAGCUUUCGCGGUAUGGGAUGGGGUCGCGUCCUAUCAGCUUGACGGCGGGGUAACGGCCCACCGUGGCUUCGACGGGUAGCCGGCCUGAGAGGGCGACCGGCCACAUUGGGACUGAGAUACGGCCCAGACUCCUACGGGAGGCAGCAGUGGGGAAUAUUGCACAAUGGGCGCAAGCCUGAUGCAGCGACGCCGCGUGAGGGAUGGAGGCCUUCGGGUUGUAAACCUCUUUUAUCGGGGAGCAAGCGAGAGUGAGUUUACCCGUUGAAUAAGCACCGGCUAC